AGUGUAGGCGGCUUCGUAAGUCGGAUGUGAAAGCCCCGGGCUUAACCUGGGAAUUGCAUUCGAUACUGCGCGGCUAGAGUUUGAUAGAGGAAAGUGGAAUUCCAGGUGUAGCGGUGAAAUGCGUAGAUAUCUGGAGGAACAUCAGUGGCGAAGGCGGCUUUCUGGAUCAAAACUGACGCUGAGGCUCGAAAGCGUGGGGAGCAAACA
rnacentral:rRNA from 1 species